UUUAAUUCGAUGCAACGCGAAGAACCUUACCUGGUCUUGACAUCCACAGAACUUUCCAGAGAUGGAUUGGUGCCUUCGGGAACUGUGAGACAGGUGCUGCAUGGCUGUCGUCAGCUCGUGUUGUGAAAUGUUGGGUUAAGUCCCGCAACGAGCGCAACCCUUAUCCUUUGUUGCCAGCGGUCCGGCCGGGAACUCAAAGGAGACUGCCAGUGAUAAACUGGAGGAAGGUGGGGAUGACGUCAAGUCAUCAUGGCCCUUACGACCAGGGCUACACACGUGCUACAAUGGCAUAUACAAAGAGAAGCGACCUCGCGAGAGCAAGCGGACCUCAUAAAGUAUGUCGUAGUCCGGAUUGGAGUCUGCAACUCGACUCCAUGAAGUCGGAAUCGCUAGUAAUCGUAGAUCAGAAUGCUACGGUGAAUACGUUCCCGGGCCUUGUACACACCGCCCGUCACACCAUGGGAGUGGGUUGCAAAAGAAGUAGGUAGCUUAACCUUCGGGAGGGCGCUUACCACUUUGUGAUUCAUGACUGGGGUGAAGUCGUAACAAGGUAACCGUAGGGGAACCUGCGGUUGGAUCACCUCCUU
rnacentral:rRNA from 1 species